AAGUGUUUUAGAAUUAGAUUUUUUACGUGUGAAUAACAUGGGGGUAGGCAACUUCGAAAUCUUUUCAAUGUCCAUUGGGGAUAAAAAGGAAACCUGACUAUGGAGAGAAUUAAUAAACUAAAUUAUAUUUAGAUACUAUAAAACUAUAGUAUUAUUCUUUUCUAAUUUGUGGUACCGAGAAACUGAACGUUCCAGCCCUCGCGGCAAGACGAGGGUGAUUUAGGGGGUAAUGCAAAAAUUAAUAAUAGACUUAUAACCUAAUAAAAUAUAUCAAAAUAUAAAUUAGAAGGGAAUAGUUGAGGUUAAGAUUACCUCCACUUAGGCCAAAAGGAUGGUGAGUGGUAUGGCAGUUUAGUAAAAUUUAUUAGGCUAGAGGGAAUAGGUAGAGAGUAGGAUUAGAGACCCUUGUAUUCUAUUAAAUAAGUUUUAAAUCCAAUAUUAAGAAGGGUUUACCAAGGAACACAAUAUACGAUAGUGGAUAUGAAAAAUAGUUUUUAGGUCUGCUCAGAUUAGCUACUUGGGGAGGUAUGAUGCUUAAAGAGAGGAACCCCAAUUUACCUUACUUCUUUUUCGAACAAGACUCAAAUACUUGUUCGGGUUAAGUUCUUUUUUAGUUAAUAGAACUUUUAUUAAAGCUUCUGAAAGGCCGCUUGGAAUAAACAUAAUCUGUUUAACAGUAAUGGUUAAUUCUUCUGGUAACUUUGAGCAAAUAGAGAAGCGUUAAUCGCACCACGACCUAAGAUAAUUUAUUAAGAGAAAACCUUAGGGACCACAUGAAUUGUGGGGAACAUCUAGGCUUUUUUGAAAUAGAGAUAAGAGAGUACUCUAAAGUAAUCGCCUUUUAGUAGUGAGGCGGUGAAUAAGUUGUCGAGAGGACCAGUUGCUCGUCACUCGCUUCGCCCUUAAGGGGUAGUUGUGAUAAGUCGAAACAAGGUAGAAGCAGGGGAACCUGCCUCUGGGCUUUCCUAAGCUUAUAUAAAAAUUAAAUAA